GGUGGCUCAGAGGUAGAGUGCUUGCCUUGCAUGCAGGGGGCCCUGGGUUUGAUUCUCAGCACCA
rfam:Dipodomys ordii contig_9655, whole genome shotgun sequence.